rnacentral:rRNA from 1 species
GGAGUUUGGACCGUGUCUCAGUUCCAAUGUGGGGGACCUUCCUCUCAGAACCCCUACUGAUCGAUGGCUCGGUGGGCCGUUACCCCGCCGACUACCUAAUCAGACGCAUCCCCACUCCCCUACGCGGUAAACCUUUGGUAUUCGUCAGAUGUCCUCAAAAUACAACAUAGGGUAUUAAUACCGAUUUUCUACC